CCUACGGGGAGCAGCAGUGGGGAAUAUUGGACAAUGGGCGAAAGCCUGAUCCAGCCAUGCCGCGUGUGUGAAGAAGGCCUUCGGGUUGUAAAGCACUUUCAGUGGGGAAGAAAGCCUUGGGGCUAAUACCCUCGAGGAAGGACAUCACCCACAGAAGAAGCACCGGCUAACUCCGUGCCAGCAGCCGCGGUAAUACGGAGGGUGCGAGCGUUAAUCGGAAUUACUGGGCGUAAAGCGCGCGUAGGCGGUCUGAUAAGCCGGUUGUGAAAGCCCCGGGCUCAACCUGGGAACGGCAUCCGGAACUGUCAGGCUAGAGUGCAGGAGAGGAAGGUAGAAUUCCCGGUGUAGCGGUGAAAUGCGUAGAGAUCGGGAGGAAUACCAGUGGCGAAGGCGGUCUUCUGGACUGACACUGACGCUGAGGUGCGAAAGCGUGGGUAGCAAACAGGAUUAGAUACCCUUGUAGUC
rnacentral:rRNA from 1 species